GAUGAACGCUGGCGGCGUGCCUAAUACAUGCAAGUCGAGCGAACAGACGAGGAGCUUGCUCCUCUGACGUUAGCGGCGGACGGGUGAGUAACACGUGGAUCACCUACCUAUAAGACUGGGAUAACUUCGAGAAACCGGAGCUAAUACCGGAUAAUAUAUUGAACCGCAUGGUUCAAUAGUGAAAGACGGUUUUGCUGUCACUUAUAGAUGGAUCCGCGCCGCAUUAGCUAGUUGGUAAGGUAACGGCUUACCAAGGCAACGAUGCGUAGCCGACCUGAGAGGGUGAGCGGCCACACUGGAACUGAGACACGGUCCAGACUCCUACGGGAGGCAGCAGUAGGGAAUCUUCCGCAAUGGGCGAAAGCCUGACGGAGCAACGCCGCGUGAGUGAUGAAGGUCUUCGGAUCGUAAAACUCUGUUAUUAGGGAAGAACAAAUGUGUAAGUAACUAUGCACGUCUUGACGGUACCUAAUCAGAAAGCCACGGCUAACUACGUG
rnacentral:rRNA from 1 species